UACGUAGGGUGCAAGCGUUAAUCGGAAUUACUGGGCGUAAAGCGUGCGCAGGCGGUUAUGUACGACAGAUGUGAAAUGCCCGGGCUUAACCUGGGAACUGCAUUUGUGACUGCAUGGCUAGAGUUUGGCAUAGGGGGGUAGAAUUCCACGUGUAGCAGUGAAAUGCGUAGAUAUGUGGAGGAACACCGAUGGCGAAGGCGGGUCUCUGGGCCGAAAUUGACGCUGAGGAGCGAAAGCGUGGGGAGCAAACAGG
rnacentral:rRNA from 1 species